rnacentral:rRNA from 1 species
AUUGAACGCUGGCGGCAUGCUUUACACAUGCAAGUCGAACGGUAACAGGCCGCAAGGUGCUGACGAGUGGCGAACGGGUGAGUAAUCCAUCGGAACGUGCCCAGUCGUGGGGGAUAACGCAGCGAAAGCGGUGCUAAUACCGCAUACGAACUAUUGAUGAAAGCGGGGGACCGUAAGGCCUCGCGCUAUUGGAGCGGCCGAGGUCAGAUUAGGUAGUUGGUGGGGUAAAGGCUUACCAAGCCGACGAUCUGUAGCUGGUCUGAGAGGACGACCAGCCACACGGGGACUGAGACACGGCCCAGACUCCUACGGGAGGCAGCAGUGGGGAAUUUUGGACAAUGGGCGCAAGCCUGAUCCAGCAAUGCCGCGUGCAGGAAGAAGGCCUUCGGGUUGUAAACUGCUUUUGUACGGAACGAAACGGUCUGGGUUAAUACCCUGGGCUAAUGACGGUACCGUAAGAAUAAGCACCGGCUAACUACGUGCCAGCCGCCGCCGUAAUAC